GCCUGUCAUUACAUUCGCCCAGAAUCUGUUGAUGGUGACCCUUUUUCGAUGGUGAUCCUUUUUUGAUGAAUUUAUUUAUACAGCAUGACAUAGUUGACACUUAUCGACAUCAAACCAACUCAAGAUCUUGAUAUAAGACAAUCGGUUUCAAAUGGCCAGUUAUAGGCAUCAUCAUGACCAUAUAAUCCAUAUCCAGGCUAUGAUUCUUUUCCUAGUGUCUUGGCAUGCUAG